GGAAGUUUACGGCAAUAACAGGUCUGUGAUGCCCUUAGAUGUCCUGGGCUGCACGCGCGCUACACUGAUGCGUUCAUCGAGUUUAUCCUUGGCCGAGAGGCCUGGGUAAUCUUUAGUACGCAUCGUGAUGGGGAUCGAUUAUUGCAAUUGUUAAUCGUGAACGAGGAAUGCCUAGUAUGCGCAAGUCAUCAGCUUGUGCAGAUUACGUCCCUGCCCUUUGUACACACCGCCCGUCGCUCCUACCGAUCGAGUGAUC
rnacentral:rRNA from 1 species